UUUCAGCGGCAAGCGCGUGAAGGAUAGCAACGGAAAGCCCACAGUGACGCCAUAAGCGGCACGAGGACUUGUAGCGUAUAGCCUGACGGCUA
rnacentral:misc_RNA from 1 species